rnacentral:lncRNA from 1 species
CCAAAAGCUGAGCUAAGCUCUACAGUUUCCACAAGUCAUCUGUUUCCAAGGGGUAUGAGUCCUCUGGAUGGAAAAUGAAGUGUGGAAUGGACCUUGUACCAAGUAAAAUGAACUCAUGCCUGGAUUUAAGGGCAACUGUUCUGGUUUUCCUCUGUUUUAGAGCAUAAUUCUCCUGGAGAAGUCUAGACUCAGCAAAUGGGAAUGUUUCCUGACUGCCAGGCGUGGGUGAGCCCUUGAACAGUGCCCUGGAUAGAUGCACGUCAGGGAGCAAAGUGGGUGUAGAACAUCCACCCUGUACAUGCCAGAGCCUGAUAGAAACAAAUAGGUUCAUAGGAAGGGGCCUGUGAUGCACAUCUACAAAUCUGCCAGGUGGAAUAAGAAGGAAUUGCAGACCACACUGUACUUAGCUCAGAAUAAGAGAAUAAGAUUAACA